CCUGGCGAGGCGGUUGGCCCUCCGACCAAUCAGAGUGAAUGAGAGGCGGGACUUGAUUAUACCACGUGAUCAUCCUCGCGGACAGCGCGGCUGUGCGGGCGGAGAGCUGUCGGAUGAGGCUGUCACUGGCUCGGCCAGCAUUUAUUGCUGCGUUUACCCAGAGGGCAGUUAAGAGUCAACUGCGUUGCUAUAGGUCUGGAGUCCCAUGCAGACCAGACCAGAUCCCAGUGAUCAGUGCCAAAGCCCCAUUGCCUGUGGAGAAGGUGAUGUUUGACUUCCUGUACAGCUGCAGUUCAUGUGGUGAAGGUGCUCCCACAAUGUGGUUGGGGUGCUAAAUGGUGAAGGUUUACAGACUGAAAUCUCAAACUCGUGCAGAUCGUGAUUAAGUUAACCAGCAUUUGAAGAACCAAAAAUGGGGAAUAACUUGGCCAAAAUCCAGCAACACUCUCCCACACAGCAUUGUUGGUUUUUCUGCACCAAAUGGACUGUGAAUGGUUCAAGACAGCAGCUCACUACCAUCUUCUCAAGGCCGAAUGGUCUCCUCCUGCUGCUAUCUCCCAGUUCCAGUCCAUGAAGCAGCCAGUAACAUGCCGCAGUGAAUUGAAUUCUAACAGCAGCAUUGCCCUGGCAGGAGAGAUUGAGGAGCUUGAAGCUGUCUUCUCUGGAGUAUCUAAACACAAAACACUUCAAAUGAACAAAAUCUUCAAGAGCUCGGGAGGAUAGAUACAAGAAGGAUGUGCUCCUCGGCCGGUGUGCCUGGAAUAAAAUAAGCACUAACUACGGUAUCUUUACCCAGCAUCCCCUUUAGCUGCAUAACUGUUGAAGAUUUAUUUGCUGCUCUAAUUCCACUCUCUCCAUCACUCCCAUUUUUAACUGCUGUAAUGUU